UAAAAGACUUUUCAUUUCUUAAAAAAUCCU
rnacentral:piRNA from 1 species